rnacentral:rRNA from 1 species
UGGCGGCAGGCUUAACACAUGCAAGUCGAGCGGGGGAAGGUAGCUUGCUACUGGACCUAGCGGCGGACGGGUGAGUAAUGCUUAGGAAUCUGCCUAUUAGUGGGGGACAACAUCUCGAAAGGGAUGCUAAUACCGCAUACGUCCUACGGGAGAAAGCAGGGGAUCUUCGGACCUUGCGCUAAUAGAUGAGCCUAAGUCGGAUUAGCUAGUUGGUGGGGUAAAGGCCUACCAAGGCGACGAUCUGUAGCGGGUCUGAGAGGAUGAUCCGCCACACUGGGACUGAGACACGGCCCAGACUCCUACGGGAGGCAGCAGUGGGGAAUAUUGGACAAUGGGGGGAACCCUGAUCCAGCCAUGCCGCGUGUGUGAAGAAGGCCUUAUGGUUGUAAAGCACUUUAAGCGAGGAGGAGGCUACUUUAGUUAAUACCUAGAGAUAGUGACGUACUCGCAGAAUAAGCACCGGC